rnacentral:rRNA from 1 species
UGGGGAAUUUUGGACAAUGGGGGAAACCCUGAUCCAGCCAUCCCGCGUGUGCGAUGAAGGCCUUCGGGUUGUAAAGCACUUUUGGCAGGAAAGAAACGUCAUGGGUUAAUACCCCGUGAAACUGACGGUACCUGCAGAAUAAGCACCGGCUAACUACGUGCCAGCAGCCGCGGUAAUACGUAGGGUGCAAGCGUUAAUCGGAAUUACUGGGCGUAAAGCGUGCGCAGGCGGUUCGGAAAGAAAGAUGUGAAAUCCAAGAGCUCAACUUUGGAACUGCAUUUUUAACUACCGGGCUAGAGUGUGUCAGAGGGAGGUGGAAUUCCGCGUGUAGCAGUGAAAUGCGUAGAUAUGCGGAGGAACACCGAUGGCGAAGGCAGCCUACUGGGAUAACACUGACGCUCAUGCACGAAAGCGUGGGGAGCAAACAGG